GACGAACGCUGGCGGCGUGCUUAACACAUGCAAGUCGAACGAUGAAGCCCAGCUUGCUGGGUGGAUUAGUGGCGAACGGGUGAGUAACACGUGGGUGAUCUGCCCUGCACUUCGGGAUAAGCCUGGGAAACUGGGUCUAAUACCGGAUAGGACCUCGGGAUGCAUGUUCCGGGGUGGAAAGGUUUUCCGGUGCAGGAUGGGCCCGCGGCCUAUCAGCUUGUUGGUGGGGUAACGGCCCACCAAGGCGACGACGGGUAGCCGGCCUGAGAGGGCGACCGGCCACACUGGGACUGAGACACGGCCCAGACUCCUACGGGAGGCAGCAGUGGGGAAUAUUGCACAAUGGGCGCAAGCCUGAUGCAGCGACGCCGCGUGGGGGAUGACGGCCUUCGGGUUGUAAACCUCUUUCAGUACCGACGAAGCGCAAGUGACGGUAGGUACAGAAGAAGCACCGGCCAACUACGUGCCAGCCGCCGCUGUAAAAC
rnacentral:rRNA from 1 species